rnacentral:rRNA from 1 species
UACGUAGGCAGCAAGCGUUGUUCGGAGUUACUGGGCGUAAAGGGUGUGUAGGCGGUUCCUUAAGUUUGCUGUGAAAUCUCCCGGCUCAACCUGGGAACGGCGCGCGAAACGGGAGGGCUGGAGUUCGGGAGAGGAGAGUGGAAUUCCCAGUGUAGAGGUGAAAUUCGUAGAUAUUGGGAAGAACACCGGUGGCGAAGGCGGCUCUCUGGACCGAGACUGACGCUGAGGCGCGAAAGCGUGGGGAGCAAACAGG